GAUGAAGAACGUAGCGAAAUGCGAUAAGUAAUGUGAAUUGCAGAAUUCAGUGAAUCAUCGAAUCUUUGAACGCACCUUGCGCCCUUUGGCCAUUCCGAAGGGCAUGCCUGUUUGAGUAUCAUGAACACCUCAACUCUUCAUGGUUUUCCGUGAUGAGCUUGGACUUUGGGGGUCUUGCUGGCCUAUGGUCAGCUCCUCUAAAAUAAAUCAGCUUGCCAGUGUUUGGUGGGUAUCACAGGUGUGAUAACUAUCUACGCUUGUGGUUUUCCACCAGGUAACCUUCAGCAGUGGAGGUUCGCUGGAGCUCACAGAUGUGUCUCUCCUCAGUGAGGACAGCUCUUUGAAUGUUUGAUCUCAAAUCAGGUAGGACUACCCGCUGAACUUAAGCAUAUCAAUAAGCGGAGGA
rnacentral:misc_RNA from 1 species